CGCUAUGGGGGCGGCCGAUGUCCGAUUAGCUAGUUGGUGGGGUAACGGCUUACCAAGGCGACGAUCGGUAGCUGGUCUGAGAGGAUGAUCAGCCACACUGGGACUGAGACACGGCCCAGACUCCUACGGGAGGCAGCAGUGGGGAAUUUUGGACAAUGGGGGCAACCCUGAUCCAGCCAUGCCGCGUGCGGGAAGAAGGCCUUCGGGUUGUAAACCGCUUUUGGUCGGGAAGAAAGGGCGCCUCCGAACAGGGGGCGUUGUUGACGGUACCGACAGAAUAAGCACCGGCUAACUACGUGCCAGCAGCCGCGGUAAUACGUAGGGUGCGAGCGUUAAUCGGAAUUACUGGGCGUAAAGCGUGCGCAGGCGGUUUGCCAAGUCUGAUGUGAAAGCCCCGGGCUCAACCUGGGAACGGCAUUGGAAACUGGCAGGCUGGAGUGUGGCAGAGGGGGGUGGAAUUCCACGUGUAGCAGUGAAAUGCGUAGAGAUGUGGAGGAACACCGAUUGCGAAAGCAGCCCCCUUGGCCAACACAGACGCUCAGGCACGAAAGCGUGGGGAGCAAACAGGAUUAGAU
rnacentral:rRNA from 1 species